rnacentral:rRNA from 1 species
GACGAACGCGGGCGGCACGCUUAACACAUGCAAGUCGAGCGAGAACCAGGGCUUCGGCCCUGGGGACAGCGGCGAACGGGUGAGUAACACGUGGGUAAUCCACCCUCGGCACCGGAAUAGCCCGGGGAAACCCGGAUUAAUGCCGGAUGGCCCGCCGGCCCCGAGGGGCUGGCGGAAAAGGUAGCUUCGGCCUCCGGCCGAGGACGAGCCCGCGACGGAUUAGCUUGUUGGUGGGGUAACGGCCCACCAAGGCUGCGAUCCGUAGCUGGUCUGAGAGGACGAUCAGCGACACUGGGACUGAGACACGGCCCAGACUCCUACGGGAGGCAGCAGUGGGGAAUCUUGCGCAAUGGGCGAAAGCCUGACGCAGCGACGCCGCGUGGGGGAAGAAGGCCUUCGGGUUGUAAACCUCUUUCAGGAGGGACGAAGCCACUCGGGUUAAUAGCCCAGAGGGUGACGGUACCUCCAGAAGAAGCCCCGGCUAACUACGUGCCAGCAGCCGCGGUAACAC